rnacentral:ncRNA from 1 species
CGCAUAUUUUGCGUAGGAGGAGCUCGACCGCCCGGUCGGCGAUGAUCGCGGUUAUCGACGAUCACCGGAUGCCUAUGGGGGCGAACCGAUCUGCCGCGUCCUGCCGAUCGCCCCA